rnacentral:rRNA from 1 species
GACAGAGGGUGCAAACGUUGUUCGGAAUUACUGGGCGUAAAGCGCGUGUAGGCUGCUCGGAAAGUCGGGUGUGAAAGCCCUGGGCUCAACCUAGGAAGUGCACUCGAAACUUCCGAGCUGGAGUGCUGGAGAGGAAGGCGGAAUUCUCGGUGUAGAGGUGAAAUUCGUAGAUAUCGAGAGGAACACCGGUGGCGAAGGCGGCCUUCUGGACAGCGACUGACGCUGAGACGCGAAAGCGUGGGGAGCAAACAGG